AUAAAAACAUGUCCUCUUGAUUAUAAUUUGAGGUCUGACCUGCUCAAUGAUUUUUAAAUGGCCGCAGUAUAUUGACUGUGCUAAGGUAGCAUAAUAAUUAGUUUCUUAAUUAGAAGCUCGUAUGAAUGGUUUGAUGAGAAAACAGCUUUCUUAUGCGUAAUUUAUUGAAUUUUAUUUUUAAGUAAAAAAGCUUAAAUGGUUUUAAGGGACGAGAAGACCCUUUAGAAUUUCAUAUAGUUAAUAAUUAGUUCUUUUUAGGAUUUAUUUAUUUAUUUUUAAUUAUAUUUAGUUGGGGUGACUAGAAAAUCUAAUAAACUUUUUUUUAUUUUUACUUUAUACAAGGUUUUAUGAUCCAUAAUUUAUGAUUAAAAGAGAAAAUUACCUAAGGGAUAACAGCGUUAUAAUUUUUUAGAGUUCUUAUCGAAAAAAUUGAUUGCGAC
rnacentral:rRNA from 1 species